UACAGCCAUAUCUUGUAGAAACACCGCAUAACGUACGAUCUCCAAAGUUAAGCUACGUAGAGCCUGGUCAGUGCCGACGUGGGUGAUCGCUUGGAAAUACCAGAUGCUGUAAG